UGCGGCGUAGAGCAGUUGGCAGCUCGCCGGCUUCAUAAGCCGGAGGUCGCUGGUUCGAUUCCAGCCGCCGCUACCA
rnacentral:tRNA from 2 species